rnacentral:rRNA from 1 species
UGGGGAAUAUUGGACAAUGGGGGCAACCCUGAUCCAGCAAUGCCGCGUGUGUGAAGAAGGUUUUCGGAUUGUAAAGCACUUUCGACGGGGACGAUGAUGACGGUACCCGUAGAAGAAGCCCCGGCUAACUUCGUGCCAGCAGCCGCGGUAAUACGAAGGGGGCUAGCGUUGCUCGGAAUGACUGGGCGUAAAGGGCGUGUAGGCGGUUUGUACAGUCAGAUGUGAAAUCCCCGGGCUUAACCUGGGAGCUGCAUUUGAUACGUGCAGACUAGAGUGUGAGAGAGGGUUGUGGAAUUCCCAGUGUAGAGGUGAAAUUCGUAGAUAUUGGGAAGAACACCGGUGGCGAAGGCGGCAACCUGGCUCAUAACUGACGCUGAGGCGCGAAAGCGUGGGGAGCAAA